rnacentral:tRNA from 1 species
CCUCCUUUCUAGAGAAAGAGAUGUUAGGUUAUGAAAAUUAAGGAUUAUUUAAUUCUUUAAUUGCUGUUCAAUUUUAUAUUUAUAUAUACAGACUGUAUUAAAAACAGAGUCUCGUAGCUCAGCUGGUUAGAGCGCUACACUGAUAAUGUAGAGGUCGGCAGUUCGAGUCUGCCCGAGACUACUUUUUUUUAAAGGGGUUUUUAUUAUAUAAACACAUAUAGGAAAUUUUAGAGGUUGAGUUUUAUACAACUAAGGCCUACAGAAGAAAUUUUUGGGGGAUUAGCUUAGCUGGCUAGAGCGCCUGCCUUGCACGCAGGAGGUCAUCGGUUCGACUCCGAUAUUCUCCACAACGAAUUUUAAUUAAUUCGCUACAAGUUCAUUGACAUAUUGAAAUACUGAUAUCGUAAAGAUACAGAAGUUAUAUUUUAGAAAACUAAAAUUAUUAACGAGCUAUAAUACAAAUAGAGAGCAUACUAUUAAGUAUGCAACAU